AAUGCGCAGAUAUCAGGAGGAACACCAAUGCCGAAGCCAGGACUCUGGCCCAUUACUGACACUGAGGAGCGAAAGCGUGGGGAGCGAACAGGAUUAGAUAGCCUGGUAGUCCACGCCGUAAACGGUGGGCACUAGUUGUGGGGACCUUCCACGGUCUCUGCGACGCAGCUAACGCAUUAAGUGCCCCGCCUGGGGAGUACGAUCGCAAGAUUAAAACUCAAAGGAAUUGACGGGGCCCCGCACAAGCAGCGGAGCAUGCGGCUUAAUUCGACGCAACGCGAAGAACCUUACCAAGGCUUGACAUAUACAGGAAUAUGGCAGAGAUGUCAUAGCCGCAAGGUCUGUAUACAGGUGGUGCAUGGUUGUCGUCAGCUCGUGUCGUGAGAUGUUGGGUUAAGUCCCGCAACGAGCGCAACCCUCGUUCUGUGUUGCCAGCAUUUAGUUGGGGACUCACAGGAGACUGCCGGGGUUAACUCGGAGGAAGGUGGGGAUGACGUCAAAUCAUCAUGCCCCUUAUGUCUUGGGCUGCACGCAUGCUACAAUGGCUGGUACAAACGGCUGCAAUACCGCAAGGUGGAGCGAAUCCGAGAAAGCCAGUCUCAGUUCGGAUUGGGGUCUGCAACUCGACCCCAUGAAGUCGGAGUUGCUAGUAAUCGUAGAUCAGCAACGCUACGGUGAAUACGUUCCCGGGGCUUGUACACACCGCCCGUCACGUCACGAAAGUCGGUAACACCCGAAGUCAGUGGCCCAACC
rnacentral:rRNA from 1 species